UCCAUCAUGGGUUCCUCACUAUUGCCUCCCUGCCUGUGGCCCUCUCUCUUCUUUUUGUUCUUCGAACCCUUGACCCUUUCUCUUUCAGACUUGGCCAGGUACUUUCAGGGCCUGGGCCCCCCACCGAAGUUCCAGGUAACACUGAAUUUCUGGGAAGAGAGCCAUGGCUCCAGCCAUACUCCACAGAAUCUUAUCACAGUGAAGAUGGAGCAGGCCUUUGCCCGAUACUUGCUGGAGCAGACUCCAGAGCAGCAGGCAGCCAUUCUGUCCCUGGUGUAGAGCCUGGGGGACCCAUCUUCCACCUCACCUCUUUGUUCUUCCUGUCUCCUUUGAAGUAGACUCAUUCUUCACACGAUUGACCUGUCCUCUUUGUGAUAAUUCUCAAUAGUUGUCCGUGAUAAUCGUGUCCUGAAAAUCCUCGCACACACUGGCUGGUGGAGAACUCAAGGCUAAUUUUUUAUCCUUUUUUUUUUUUAAUUUUGAGAUAUACGCCCUCUUUCAUCUGUAAGGGACUAGGAAAUUCCAAAUGGUGUGAACCCAGGGGGCCUUUCCCUCUUCCCUGACCUCCUAACUCUAAAGCCAAGCACUUUAUAUUUUCCUCUUAGAUAUUCACUAAGGACUUAAAAUAAAAUUUUAUUGAAAGAGGAA
rnacentral:sRNA from 1 species